CUACGGGGGGCUCCAGUGGGGAAUAUUGCACAAUGGGCGCAAGCCUGAUGCAGCCAUGCCGCGUGUAUGAAGAAGGCCUUCGGGUUGUAAAGUACUUUCAGCGGGGAGGAAGGGAGUAAAGUUAAUACCUUUGCUCAUUGACGUUACCCGCAGAAGAAGCACCGGCUAAUUCCGUGCCAGCAGCCGCGGUAAUACGGAGGGUGCAAGCGUUAAUCGGAAUUACUGGGCGUAAAGCGCACGCAGGCGGUUUGUUAAGUCAGAUGUGAAAUCCCCGGGCUCAACCUGGGAACUGCAUCUGAUACUGGCAAGCUUGAGUCUCGUAGAGGGGGGGAGAAUUCCAGGUGUAGCGGUGAAAUGCGUAGAGAUCUGGAGGAAUACCGGUGGCGAAGGCGGCCCCCUGGACGAAGACUGACGCUCAGGUGCGAAAGCGUGGGGAGCAAACAGGAUUAGAUACCCGAGUAGUC
rnacentral:rRNA from 1 species